GGGGACGUUACGGAUUCGACAGGGAUGGUUCGAGCUUAGGCUGCGAGCCGAGAGGCGAUCUCGUUAACACGCACUUAAAUGUAACUGGCAAAACUAAAAGUUUUAACCAAAACUUAGCACUAGCUGCCUAAUAAGCGCAGCGAGCUCUUCCUGACAUCGCCUAUGUGUCUGUGAGGAGCCCAAUGAAGUAGGCUACGCUUACGUUUCCGUCUGAGGACGUAAGAAGAGAUCCAUCAGACU
rnacentral:tmRNA from 1 species